UUUUUUUUCCUUACUUAACCAGGAGGAAGAGCUGAUAGUGGAGGUGAGCGCCGACACCCGCCCCUCCCACUACCAGGAAUCUUUAGAUGAGAGCCCUCAGCUUAACACCAGUGAGAGGGAACGAGAUCAAACAGAUUCCACCAUCAUUGAAUCUGUCGUGGAGGAGCCCACGGAAGAGCCCAAGCCACCGUUCUACCUGGUAAGCAGUAAAGGAGAUGGUACCAUAGAUUCCUUAUGUUAUUCGCUUCUUCCUAAAUGUUGUGUUCACUUUAACAGAAUUUACCAUUUAAUAUGACUGUUUGCAAACAGCUAACU